CAGGAUGAACGCUAGCUACAGGCUUAACACAUGCAAGUCGAGGGGAAACGACAUCGAAAGCUUGCUUUUGAUGGGCGUCGACCGGCGCACGGGUGAGUAACGCGUAUCCAACCUGCCCACCACUUGGGGAUAACCUUGCGAAAGUAAGACUAAUACCCAAUGACGUCUCUAGAAGACAUCUGAAGGAGAUUAAAGAUUUAUCGGUGAUGGAUGGGGAUGCGUCUGAUUAGCUUGUUGGCGGGGUAACGGCCCACCAAGGCGACGAUCAGUAGGGGUUCUGAGAGGAAGGUCCCCCACAUUGGAACUGAGACACGGUCCAAACUCCUACGGGAGGCAGCAGUGAGGAAUAUUGGUCAAUGGACGAGAGUCUGAACCAGCCAAGUAGCGUGCAGGAUGACGGCCCUAUGGGUUGUAAACUGCUUUUAUAAGGGAAUAAAGUGAGUCUCGUGAGGCUUUUUGCAUGUACCUUAUGAAUAAGGACCGGCUAAUUCCGUGCCAGCAGCCGCGGUAAUACGGAAGGUCCGGGCGUUAUCCGGAUUUAUUGGGUUUAAAGGGAGCGUAGGCCGGAGAUUAAGCGUGUUGUGAAAUGUAGACGCUCAACGUCUGCACUGCAGCGCGAACUGGUUUCCUUGAGUACGCACAAAGUGGGCGGAAUUCGUGGUGUAGCGGUGAAAUGCUUAGAUAUCACGAAGAACUCCGAUUGCGAAGGCAGCUCACUGGAGCGCAACUGACGCUGAAGCUCGAAAGUGCGGGUAUCGAACAGGAUUAGAUACCCUGGUAGUCCGCACGGUAAACGAUGGAUGCCCGCUGUUGGUCUGAAUAGGUCAGCGGCCAAGCGAAAGCAUUAAGCAUCCCACCUGGGGAGUACGCCGGCAACGGUGAAACUCAAAGGAAUUGACGGA
rnacentral:rRNA from 1 species